rnacentral:rRNA from 1 species
UACGUAGGGUGCAAGCGUUGUCCGGAAUUAUUGGGCGUAAAGAGCUUGUAGGCGGUUUGUCGCGUCUGCUGUGAAAUUUCGGGGCUCAACUCCGAACUUGCAGUGGGUACGGGCAGACUAGAGUGUGGUAGGGGAGACUGGAAUUCCUGGUGUAGCGGUGAAAUGCGCAGAUAAUCAGGAGGAACACCGGUGGCGAAGGCGGGUCUCUGGGCCGAUGACUGACGCUGAGGAGCGAAAGCGUGGGGAGCGAACAGG